rnacentral:rRNA from 1 species
GACGAACCGAGCGAACGUUGUUCGGAAUCACUGGGCUUAAAGGGCACGUAGGCGGGCUGCCAAGUUUGGGGUGAAAUCCUCCGGCUCAACCGGGGAAGUGCCUUGAAUACUGGCGGUCUGGAGGGAGGUAGGGGCGUGCGGAACUGUAGGUGGAGCGGUGAAAUGCGUUGAUAUCUACAGGAACUCCGGUGGCGAAGGCGGCACGCUGGACCUUUUCUGACGCUGAGGCGCGAAAGCCAGGGGAGCGAACGGG